UAACACGAACCGUACGAACGUUAUUCGGAAUUACUGGGCUUAAAGGGUUUGUAGGCGGCCUUGUAAGUCGGGUGUGAAAUCCCUCGGCUCAACCGAGGAAUGGCGCCCGAUACUGCAAGGCUUGAGGGAGACAGGGGUUAGCGGAACUGAUGGUGGAGCGGUGAAAUGCGUUGAUAUCAUCAGGAACACCGGUGGCGAAAGCGGCUAACUGGGUCUCUUCUGACGCUGAGGAACGAAAGCUAGGGUAGCGAACGGGAUUAGAUACCCCGGUAGUCCUAGCUGUAAACGAUGAGCACUUAUCUGGGGAUCCCCCCAUAGGUUCCCGGAUGAAGCGAAAGUGUUAAGUGCUCCGCCUGGGGAGUAUGGUCGCAAGGCUG
rnacentral:rRNA from 1 species